GACGAACGCUGGCGGCGUGCCUAACACAUGCAAGUCGAACGGAGUAAGGAGAGCUUGCUUUCCUUGCUUAGUGGCGAACGGGUGAGUAACGCGUGAGCAACCUGCCUCUUACAGGGGGAUAACGCAUCGAAAGAUGUGCUAAUACCGCGUAAGACCACAGUACCGCAUGGUACAGGGGUCAAAGGAGCAAUCCGGUAAGAGAUGGGCUCGCGUCCGAUUAGCUAGUUGGUGAGAUAAAAGCCCACCAAGGCGACGAUCGGUAGCCGACCUGAGAGGGUGAUCGGCCACAUUGGAACUGAGAAACGGUCCAGACUCCUACGGGAGGCAGCAGUGGGGAAUAUUGGGCAAUGGGCGAAAGCCUGACCCAGCAACGCCGCGUGAGGGAAGAAGGGUUUCGGCUCGUAAACCUCUGUCCUAUGGGACGAAGAAGUGACGGUACCAUAGGAGGAAGCCCCGGCUAACUACGUG
rnacentral:rRNA from 1 species